AACGAACGCUGGCGGCAGGCCUAACACAUGCAAGUCGAACGCUGUAGCAAUACAGAGUGGCAGACGGGUGAGUAACGCGUGGGAACAUACCCUUUGGUUCGGAAUAACUCAGGGAAACUUGAGCUAAUACCGGAUAAGUGCGAAAGCAGAAAGAUUCAUCGCCGAAGGAUUGGCCCGCGUUCGAUUAGCUUGUUGGUGAGGUAACGGCUCACCAAGGCGACGAUCGANAGCUGGUCUGAGAGGAUGAUCAGCCACAUUGGGACUGAGACACGGCCCAAACUCCUACGGGAGGCAGCAGUGGGGAAUAUUGGACAAUGGGCGAAAGCCUGAUCCAGCCAUGCCGCGUGAGUGAUGAAGGCCCUAGGGUUGUAAAGCUCUUUCGUCAGGGACGAUAAUGACGGUACCUGAAGAAGAAGCCCCCGGCUAACUUCGUGCCAG
rnacentral:rRNA from 1 species